rnacentral:rRNA from 1 species
GAUGAACGCUGGCGGCAUGCCUAAUACAUGCAAGUCGAACGAGAGGAAGGAAAGCUUGCUUUUCUGAAUCUAGUGGCGAACGGGUGAGUAACACGUAGGUAACCUGCCCAUGUGCCCGGGAUAACUUCUGGAAACGGAUGCUAAAACCGGAUAGGUAGCAGACAAGCAUUUGACUGCUAUUAAAGUGGCUAAGGCCAUGAACAUGGAUGGACCUGCGGUGCAUUAGCUAGUUGGUGAGGUAACGGCCCACCAAGGCGACGAUGCAUAGCCGGCAUGAGAGGGCGGACGGCCACAUUGGGACUGAGACACGGCCCGAACUCCUACGGGAGGCAGCAGUAGGGAAUUUUCGUCAAUGGGGGGAACCCUGAACGAGCAAUGCCGCGUGAGUGAGGAAGGUCUUCGGAUCGUAAAGCUCUGUUGUAAGAGAAAAACGACAUUCAUAGGGAAUGAUGAGUGAGUGAUGGUAUCUUACCAGAAAGUCACGGCUAACUACGUGCCAGCCGCCGCCGUAAUAC